rnacentral:snRNA from 1 species
AUACUUACCUGGCGCAGAGGUUAACCGUGAUCACUAAGGCGGUUCCUCCAGGCCGAGGCCCUCCCAUUGCACUUCGGUUGGGCUGAAUCCUGCGAGUAUCCCAAAUGUGGAUACCUCGGGCGUAUAAUUUUUGAUAGUCGGGAUUGCGUUCGCGCUCUCCCGG